rnacentral:siRNA from 1 species
GCUCUACUGAAGUCUUUUGCCAUC